rnacentral:rRNA from 1 species
CAGCCGCCACGGGAAUACGUAGGGUGCGAGCGUUAAUCGGAAUUACUGGGCGUAAAGCGUGCGCAGGCGGUUCGUUAAGACAGAUGUGAAAUCCCCGGGCUUAACCUGGGAACUGCAUUUGUGACUGGCGAGCUAGAGUAUGGCAGAGGGGGGGUAGAAUUCCACGUGUAGCAGUGAAAUGCGUAGAGAUGUGGAGGAAUACCGAUGGCGAAGGCAGCCCCCUGGGCCAAUACUGACGCUCAUGCACGAAAGCGUGGGGAGCAAACAGGAUUAGAUACCCCCGUAGUCCCUGUCUCUUAUA